rnacentral:tRNA from 1 species
GUGUGUAUAGCUCAGUGGUAGAGCAUGUGCUUAGCAUACAUUAGGUCCUGGUUUCAAUCCCCAGUACCUCCA